GGGGGCCCGCACAAGCGGUGGAGCAUGUGGUUUAAUUCGAUGCAACGCGAAGAACCUUACCUGGCCUUGACAUCCACAGAAGGAUCCAGAGAUGGAUUUGUGCCUUCGGGAGCUGUGAGACAGGUGCUGCAUGGCUGUCGUCAGCUCGUGUUGUGAAAUGUUGGGUUAAGUCCCGCAACGAGCGCAACCCUUAUCCUUUGUUGCCAUCGAUUAGGUCGGGAACUCAAAGGAGACUGCCGGUGAUAAACCGGAGGAAGGUGGGGAUGACGUCAAGUCAUCAUGGCCCUUACGGCCAGGGCUACACACGUGCUACAAUGGCGCAUACAAAGAGAAGCGAGCCUGCGAGGGGAAGCGGACCUCAUAAAGUGCGUCGUAGUCCGGAUCGGAGUCUGCAACUCGACUCCGUGAAGUCGGAAUCGCUAGUAAUCGUGGAUCAGAAUGCCACGGUGAAUACGUUCCCGGGCCUUGUACACACCGCCCGUCACACCAUGGGAGUGGGUUGCAAAAGAAGUAGGUAGCUUAACCUUCGGGAGGGCGCUUACCACUUUGUGAUUCAUGACUGGGGUGAAGUCGUAACAAGGUAACCGUAA
rnacentral:rRNA from 1 species